rnacentral:rRNA from 1 species
UACGUAGGGUGCAAGCGUUAAUCGGAAUUACUGGGCGUAAAGCGUGCGCAGGCGGUUUUGUAAGUUUGUCGUGAAAUCCCCGGGCUCAACCUGGGAAUGGCGAUGAAGACUGCAAGGCUAGAGUUUGGCAGAGGGGGGUAGAAUUCCACGUGUAGCAGUGAAAUGCGUAGAUAUGUGGAGGAACACCGAUGGCGAAGGCAGCCCCCUGGGUCAAAACUGACGCUCAUGCACGAAAGCGUGGGGAGCAAAC